AUAGAAACGGGCUCUGGAUGUGCAUUAAAGCCUCUCACCGCAGGGCGUUGUUUUUGUUUCCCUAAGUCAAUUGUGUGCCAGCAAAAGACGGACUGGAUCGACAGCUCUGGAGACAGAGGGCCCAUCUUUAUUCCACCAAACAGCCACCCAAACUGGGCACAGGAUUCCAGAAGCAGUUGCACCAGUGCCAAAUUCAGAGAUUGCUCAGUGACCUGUCCUCUUCAUUAUUUACCACUUGGCCACACCCCAAGACUCCAGUAAAGUCACAAGGCAGUUGUUUUCUUCUAAUACUGAACAAGGAACUUUACUGGAAUAAAGAAAACAAUGGGCUUGUCUUCACUGCAACGGCCAUCUUGAGCAACUCCUCUCCGCUUAGCCUUGCAAAACACUGAAGGUGCCCAGCGGGAAUAGAUUAGUAGUUGGAGACUUGUGCUAACUCCAGCUGUAGCUGCAUCUGUGAUGUUGCACUCUAUAUGAUUUUAUGAAAAUAUGCUAAUGAGUGUGAAUAUAAUGUAACUGGAAUAUGCUUCAUGCAAAAGGUCUCUUGUAAGGUAUAAUUACAAAGUUUAUAAUCUACUGAGUGUGGUCAUCCAUUUUGUAUAAAUGUAUAAUUCUUGUAUCUGAAAAUAGAAAGAUGGAAUAUAACUCUGAGGUCCUAUUGUAAUUAUGCAAAGUGUGGGCCAUUAAUGGUGGUUUGGAAUCUUGAUGUCUCCCAUCAACUAGAACAAUUGGUUGUAAAUGGCUCUGUUUACUUGCAAGCCUU